GUUGCGUAUUUAUGUAGAUAUAUAGUUAAACAAAUUUGCCGCGGUAUUCGCGCACGACGGCCAAAUACGACGCCUGGAACGCGUUCCAAAACCGUUUUCGUGUAUACGAUAUGUAAUAAUGACGUAAAAGGGAACAUAUAAUAGCAAACGUUUUUUAUAUAUAUACGUGCAUUAUACAAACGCGCUAUACGUACGAGAGACGACACAUUAUUUUGUAAAUUUAACAUUGAUUUGUUAUUGUCGAUGAAAUAUAUCGCAGAAAACAAUAUUGUCGUGAUUUGCCGAGGGAG